GCCAGCAGCCAUAUCACCCUGCAACACACAACUACAUAGAAGCCCAGCAGGUGUGAGCCUGGCCAGUACCUGGAGGGGAGACUCCUGGGAAAGCUGAGGCUGCUGCUGGAA
rnacentral:rRNA from 1 species